rnacentral:rRNA from 1 species
AGGCUGGAUCACGCGGUAUGGCAUCUGCUCAGGGUUACUACCAUGGUUGAUUACUGCGGCUUGUCUUUUGCGUACUUCUUGUUUCCUUGGUGGGUUCGCCCACCACUAGGACAAACAUAAACCUUUUGUAAUUGCAAUCAGCGUCAGUAACAAAUUAAUAAUUACAACUUUCAACAACGGAUCUCUUGGUUCUGGCAUCGAUGAAGAACGCAGCGAAAUGCGAUAAGUAGUGUGAAUUGCAGAAUUCAGUGAAUCAUCGAAUCUUUGAACGCACAUUGCGCCCUUUGGUAUUCCAAAGGGCAUGCCUGUUCGAGCGUCAUUUGUACCCUCAAGCUUUGCUUGGUGUUGGGCGUCUUGUCUCUAGCUUUGCUGGAGACUCGCCUUAAAGUAAUUGGCAGCCGGCCUACUGGUUUCGGAGCGCAGCACAAGUCGCACUCUCUAUCAGCAAAGGUCUAGCAUCCAUUAAGCCUUUUUUUCAACUUUUGACCUCGGAUCAGGUAGGGAUACCCGCUGAACUUAAGCAUAUCAAUAAGGCGGAGGAA